UUAAUGAACACAACUGAAUAUAACUUUUAUACAAACAUUUAAAUAUUUUUCUGUAGCUAAUUUUAUAGCAGCUAAUUAUAGACACUGUUUAUAUUAAAUGGUAUUUAUUAGUAAAAAUGUGUUUUAUGUAUUUCAUUUGUGAUAUUUGCAUACAUCAAUAUUAUAAUUUAAAUUGAUUUUCAUAUAUUUUCAUGUGUUCUUUAUUUAUUAGUUUGAAUUGUAAAUGAUGUGGGAGAAUUACUGUUGAAUAAAAUUUAUUGGUUUCUAAUGACUGUUAAUUAUGUUAUGACUUACUAUAUUUUAUUUUAUUUUUUUGUCAAAAAUAUAAAUAGUAUUUUCAUAAAGUAAAUUACUCUUUCAAAAAUAUAUUGCUUUUUAAGUAAGUUUUAUAUAUGUUCCUUUAAAUCAUUCAUUUCUAUUAAAUAAUCAAUUAUUAAUGUAACCAAUAACAAUUUAGUAAAGACUAUGUUCUAUUAUCUUGUUAUAUUUAUAAUUGGCUCCCAAUAUAUCUAAUAUCCUAACCUAAUUAUGCAUGUAACCUUUAAUAAUAUAUUGUUAUAAUACUGUUUAGUAAGUAAUAUAAAGUGAAUUUCAAAUAUAUGACAGCCAAUAACAAAAUUAUUUUUUAUUUUUUGUAACUUAAUAUAAUAUAAUUAAAAUAAAACAUUAAAAUCAUGUUAAUGUAUUAUAAUAUGGAAACAACUGUCAAUAUUUAUAUAAUAAAGUGAAUUUAUAAAUAAAUUUGUAAUUUCUUAUUCAAUUUUACCACAUAGAAUAAUAAUUUGAUUACUAUUCAACAUUUACUCUCCUUAAAUGGUACAUCCAGAGUUAAAAUUACAUUUAAUAUAAGAAAAUAUAUCAAUCAAUGAUAAAAACAUUAUAGACAAUAAGUACAUAUAUAAACAUAAAUUCAUUUAAAUUUUGUCUACCUAGGUCUAUUUAUACUAGUUUAUCAUUAAAGGUUUAUAUUUAAAUUAAUUUCCUACAUUAUUGUAGUAGUACUUGAAUGGUGUGGUUGUAUUCUUUCUUGGCUCUGUUUAUUAUAUAUCCAUAUCCCUUUAAUAAAUUAUGGUCACAUGAAUAAUCAUAACUAUUUUACAAACAUUUUUUUGGACAGGACUUUACUGGCAUUAGCCAGUAAAGCUCUUUCUAUAUGUGGCCCUUUUAGAUUCUGAGUGGCAAGCAAGAAAUGUACUGGGUUUAAAAUGAUGUUUAUUAUUAUUUUUUUUUAAUUCUGCUAGAAAUCCUACUCCGAUUUUAAGUGUUUUAACAUUUUCUAGGGUGGUAAUUUAAGAAUAUUUUUUUUAUUUU